rnacentral:rRNA from 1 species
AAACAUGUCUGUGUGAAUAAAAUAUUUAGUCUGGCCUGCCCACUGAGGUUUAAAGGGMUGCGGUAAUUUGACCGUGCAAAGGUAGCAUAAUCAAUAGUCUUUUAAUUGGAGGCUUGAAUGAAAGGUUUGAUGAAAGGAGAGCUGUCUCUUUAAUUUAUAUCGAAUUUAACUUUUGUGUGAAAAGGCAUUAAUGAUUUAGUGGGACGAUAAGACCCUAUAAAACUUGACAUAUUUUUAUUUAUUUUUUGAAUUUGUUUAGUAACUGUAAAAUGAUUGAGUGUGUUUUGCUGGGGCGGCAUAGAUAUAAUUUGUAACUGUCUUUAAGAUAAAAUAUAUAUGUAUAGAUUUUUGGUCCUUUAUUAAGGAAAUAAGAGUAAGUUACUUUAGGGAUAACAGCAUAAUUUUCUCUGAGAGUCCAUAUCGAAGGGAGUAGUUGUGACCUCGAUGUUGAAUUAAAUUUUCUUCUGGGUGCAGUAGUCUAGGGAGAAGGCCUGUUCGGCCUAUAAAUAUUUACG